rnacentral:ncRNA from 2 species
UUUAUAUAACCACCUUGUGGUGCCAGUUGCUGGAAUCAGCUGGCUUAAAAGGGAAUCCGGUGAAAAUCCGGAACAGUACCCGCUGCUGUAAUCCUCAGCCGGCAUAUUUGCCGGCAUAUAUGUUCUGUCAAUGAAGCCACUGAACCGGGCCACCGGAUCGGGAAGGCGACAGACAGGGGAGAGUCAGAAGACCUGCCACAAUGUCUUGAGCUUC